AACGAACGCUGGCGGCAGGCCUAACACAUGCAAGUCGAGCGGGCGCCUUCGGGCGCUAGCGGCGGACGGGUUAGUAACACGUGGGAACGUACCUUCUGCUACGGAAUAGCCUCGGGAAACUGGGAGUAAUACCGUAUGUGCCCUUUUGGGGAAAGAUUUAUCGGCAGGAGAUCGGCCCGCGUCUGAUUAGGUAGUUGGUGAGGUAACGGCUCACCAAGCCUACGAUCAGUAGCUGGUUUGAGAGGAUGAUCAGCAACACUGGGACUGAGACACGGCCCAGACUCCUACGGGAGGCAGCAGUGGGGAAUCUUAGACAAUGGGGGCAACCCUGAUCUAGCCAUGCCGCGUGAGUGAUGAAGGCCUUAGGGUCGUAAAGCUCUUUCGCCGGGGAAGAUAAUGACGGUACCCGGUAAAGAAACCCCGGCUAACUCCGUG
rnacentral:rRNA from 1 species